UACGUAGGGGGCAAGCGUUGUCCGGAUUUAUUGGGCGUAAAGAGCGUGUAGGCGGCUUUACAGGUCCGUUGUGAAAACUCGAGGCUCAACCUCGAGACGCCGGUGGAAACCGUAAAGCUAGAGUCCAGAAGAGGAGAGUGGAAUUCCUGGUGUAGCGGUGAAAUGCGCAGAUAUCAGGAGGAACACCCGUGGCGAAAGCGGCUCUCUGGGACGGUACUGACGCUGAGACGCGAAAGCGUGGGGAGCGAACAGG
rnacentral:rRNA from 1 species